GACGAACGCUGGCGGCGUGCUUAACACAUGCAAGUCGAACGGUGAAGCGCCUUCCUUUUUGGUGGGUGUGGAUGAGUGGCGAACGGGUGAGUAACACGUGAGUAACCUGCCCCCUUCUUCUGGAUAACCGCAUGAAAGUGUGGCUAAUACGGGAUAUUCUGGGUCUGUCGCAUGAUGGGUCUGGGAAAGAUAUUGUUUCGGUGGGGGAUGGUCUCGCGGCCUAUCAGCUUGUUGGUGGGGUGAUGGCCUACCAAGGCGGUGACGGGUAGCCGGCCUGAGAGGGUGGACGGUCACACUGGGACUGAGACACGGCCCAGACUACGACGGGAGGCAGCAGGGGGGAAUAUUGCACAAUGGGCGGAAGGAUGAUGCAGCGACGCCGCGUGAGGGAUGGAGGCCUUCGGGUUGUGAACAUCUUUCGCCAGUGAAGCAGGCCUGCCUCGUUUGUGGGUGGGUUGACGGUAGCUGGAUAAGAAGCGCCGGCUAACUACGUG
rnacentral:rRNA from 1 species